rnacentral:misc_RNA from 1 species
UCGAUUCUAAAAAGGAUGUGCUGGCUUCAAUGCAUGUGCACUCCGAUUUACCUUCAACCCCUGUGCACUAUAUUGUAGGCAUGAAGAAAGAGAAAUACGUAGUAAUAUGUGUAUCUCAAGUAUUUGUGUCUACGAUUUUUUAUACACUCGUAACUUAUAAAGAAUGUUCAAGUAGACUUAUAAAGUCGAAAUUAUAAAA